CUGAAUAAUUGGGGGAGAAGGGCCUUGGUCAGGGAAGUGACUAGCAAAAGACAAUUUUUUUUUUGAAUGGCUUGAGUAUCUGCAUGAGUGCCUGGACAUCACAUGAGUUGAGAUGAUUUUGCCCAGUGUCCACCGACCCUGAUUCCCAUUGUUUUUGGGUGCUUCAGUCGAGUGAUGAAUCAAUUCCUGAUGGCAAGAGUCACAACUUUUGGCUCUCAGCUGGGACUCUAAUGUCAGCACGCUCCUUAGCUUCCUCCAGCCCAUGCUGCACCUUCCUGAACUUGGCCAGCCUGCCUCUUGUAGGUCUUAACCUUCAACUGCAGCUUGUCCACCAAAUCCUACAGCCUGGAAACAUUCUUCUUGUCCUCAGUUUGAGACCUGCAGGUCCUUGACUGUUACCUUCAGGUUAUUCUUCAUCCUCUCUAGGUGAGUGCUGGUGUCCUGCUUCAGCUCAUCAAUGCAGCAUGGUUUGACAUAUUUGUUCAUAG